rnacentral:lncRNA from 1 species
UAUUAAGUGUAAACUGAGAAAAAGUAUGAAUAGCAGUAGGGUGCAUAGGUAACAUGAAGGAAAAAGAAACGAGAAAGAGAUGGGAAGAUGGUGAACCCCAGAUACGUUACAGAGUCUCAGUAGGUAGUUUUGGGAUAAGUGUUUCAGGGUAGCAAGGAUGAGUGGUUUCUUAUGAAGGAAGUGGUGUUAUUCUGCAUGGGAAAAGCUAUUACGGAAGAGAAUAAGAAGAGAGUUGGGUGACUGAAAGUUGUUUAUUUGAUGGUUGGUGAGGGAGGUGGUGACGUGAAUUUUCGUGGAAGAAGAAAAGAGAGAGGGAUAGGUGUAUUUGACACGUGAAUAAGUUAGAAAUGAGAGAAAGACUAUGAAAAAAAAAAAAAAGAAUAUGUGGGUGCUCGAACUAUAUGGGAAAAAGGGCUUUAAAUUGGGUGUUAAAAUGGGAAUUUUAAAAUGAAAAGGGAAUCGGGAGUGGCAGUUUUCUUUACACAGCAGACAAGAUUUUCUUUAUAGGAAGAAAUAUAGAGGAGAGAAAGUGUGCAUUAUAGGUGAGAUCAUAUGAGAAAGAAUGUAAUUGGGUUUAAAUAUAAAUGCAAACACAUCUUGACCCGUAUGUAUGCAGUGUCAAAAUAAUGUCAAAAAAUGGUGUUAAAAUAUCAUUGUCUAUGUGAGAGAAAGGGAAAAGAUUGGAGUGAGUGGAAGAAUAGAAAUGGAGCCAGGGGAGAAGAAGAAACUUACGUAUGAUGAUGAGGAUGAAUUUUAUGAAGUUGAUUUUUUUUAUUAGAGAAGUUUAUAUAUUAAAUGCAGAGAUUAAUUUUGCUUUUAUGUUUCAUGCUUAAAGGAUUUUAUUUUUCUGUUACAUGUCUAAAGGGGUACAUGAAUGGUAGAAUAGAAAGUGUUUAUUUGGAUAUUUUAUGUUAUAGACAUUGAAUGGUGUAGGUUUCAAAUAGGAAAAGAUGGAAAUUUGGAAUUUAUUUGAAUACCAGAAAGGUUGCCAAGGUUAUUCAGCUAACUUAAAUUUUAUUUAAUAUUAU